UAGUCAAGAUAUUGAGGCGUUCAACCUAAUUUUAGGCUUGAACGGGGAGCAUUAAAGCGCAGUGCAGAGCACAGAGCGCGCUCCUGCAAUAACUCAACAUGGCCUCGCCCUGCUACACAAUAUCUGACU
rnacentral:sRNA from 19 species